CUCUAUAUUGGUCAGGCUGGUCUCGAACUCCUGACUCCAGCUGAUCCACCCGCCUCGGCCUCCCAAAGUGAAGGAUUACAGGCAUGAGCCACUGCGACUGACCUUUUUUGAGCCUGUUUUGCAGCCUUUACAAAAAUCAGGGUUUUCCCACAAGAUCACGAAGAUUUUCACAUAAGCGACUUCUGACCAUUUGUGUUGGUGUUGCUGUUGGCAGUAAAGGUCAAGCAGGAAUAUGGUAAUAACAUUCAAACUUCCCACCUUUGGCCACGAUCCUACCUUUCUAGUUGAUAUUUUGGCCAAACUCAGUUACUUGGGAGGCUGAGGCAGGAGCAUCACUUGAACUUAAGAGGCAGAGGUUGCAGUGAGCCGAGAUUGCACCAUUGUACUCCAGCCUGGACAAAACAAAGUCUUAAAAAAAAAAGUCAUGCCUUUUCUCCUCUUGUGGUGUGUGCUUGACUCGUCUUCUCGCCAAGUCUUCUCACAAGACUUUCAGGAGUAAGUGAGUCCUGACCAAGAAACAAAAGCAAAAUUGUCCCAUUUCCUAGUGGAUUCGCAUGAAAACUGGUAAUAAGGUCACAAUCAUGUUACCAUAUCAAGCUGAAAAUAUCACCACCAUCUGGAGAGUUGGACAUGUUUUAUUGGGAAUAUAUUUUUUAUCUCUGAAUCUGUUAUGAAUGCAUUUGUUGGCUGGGUUCGGUAAUAUGUGAAACAUUUCAUUUCAAAAAAAUGUCAAGUGAAGUAAUUUGAUAGUGUACCUUACUCUUUGUUUUGUUUUUUUGAGAUGGAGACUCCACUGUGUUCAGUGGAUCACACCUGUGGUCCAUGCACCUUGGGAGACUGAGGUGGGAGGAUUGCUUGAGACCGAGUCUCCUGGGAAUCUUCUCGUCUCUUCUCACCCAGUUCAUGACAGACCCUUGGACUCUACUUUGUCAUCUACCUGUGACCCGGAAGCCCCCAAUUCCAGUUAUUCCACCUUUCCACACCGAAACAAUAUAUAUCUUAUAUGUUUUGAUUGAUGUAUUAUGUCUCCCUAAAAUGUGUAAAACCGCUCUCUGGUCUCGGCUGCAGAAGCGAGAUGACGAAGGGAACGUCAUCAUUUGGAAAGCGUCGCAAUAAGACGCACACAUUGUGCCGCCGCUGUGGCUCUAAGGCCUACCACCUUCAGAAGUCGACCUGUGGCAAAUGUGGCUACCCUGCCAAGCGCAAGAGAAAGUAUAACUGGAGUGCCAAGGCUACAAGACGAAAUACCACCGGAACUGGUCGAAUGAGGCACCUAAAAAUUGUAUACCGCAGAUUCAGGCAUGGAUUCCGUGAAGGAACAACACCUAAACCCAAGAGGGCAGCUGUUGCAGCAUCCAGUUCAUCUUAAGAAUGUCAGCGAUUAGUCAUGCAAUAAAUGUUCUGGUUCUGAAAAAUAAAAAAAA